AUUGAACGCUGGCGGCAUGCCUUACACAUGCAAGUCGAACGGUAACAGGUUAAGCUGACGAGUGGCGAACGGGUGAGUAAUGUAUCGGAACGUGCCCAGUCGUGAGGGAUAACUGCUCGAAAGAGCAGCUAAUACCGCAUACGACCUGAGGGUGAAAGCGGGGGAUCGCAAGACCUCGCGCGAUUGGAGCGGCCGAUAUCAGAUUAGGUAGUUGGUGAGGUAAAGGCUCACCAAGCCGACGAUCUGUAGCUGGUCUGAGAGGACGACCAGCCACACUGGGACGGAGACACGGCCCAGACUCCUACGGGAGGCAGCAGUGGGGAAUUUUGGACAAUGGGCGCAAGCCUGAUCCAACCAUGCCGCGUGCGGGAAGAAGGCCUUCGGGUUGUAAACCGCUUUUGUCAGGGAAGAAACGCUCUGGGUUAAUACCCUGGGGUAAUGACGGUACCUGAAGAAUAAGCACCGGCUAACUACGUGCCAGCCGCCGCCGUAAUAC
rnacentral:rRNA from 1 species